GAUGAACGCUAGCGGCAGGCCUAACACAUGCAAGUCGAGGGGUAACAUAGAGAAGCUUGCUUUUCUGAUGACGACCGGCGCACGGGUGCGUAACGCGUAUGCAACCUACCUUAUACUGAGGGAUAGCCCGAAGAAAUUCGGAUUAAUACCUCAUAGUAUUACUAGAUCGCAUGAUUUGGUAAUUAAAGAUUACGGUAUAAGAUGGGCAUGCGUCCUAUUAGCUAGAUGGUAAGGUAACGGCUUACCAUGGCUACGAUAGGUAGGGGGCCUGAGAGGGUGAUCCCCCACACUGGUACUGAGACACGGACCAGACUCCUACGGGAGGCAGCAGUGAGGAAUAUUGGUCAAUGGAGGCAACUCUGAACCGGCCAUGCCGCGUGCAGGAAGAUGGCCCUAUGGGUUGUAAACUGCUUUUAUUUGGGAAUAAACUCCUCUACG
rnacentral:rRNA from 1 species